AAUGACCAAUAAUACAUUAGCACACAUUAAUUUAUCGGAUUACUUAACUUUCACUUAGAAAGCAGGGAUUACAAUUGGGACAGGUGCAGUUUGGAAUGGUGGAAAGCAGGUGGCAACAGUGAAGUCUCCAGGGAGACAGAACAAAUAGCAGUGAUGGAAAAGAAGGUUCUGAGAAGGGUAAGGAUUUGCAAAGGCUGGAAGUAGCUUCAAAGUAAGGUUUAUUUCAGGCUGCUCUGAAUAUGACGAAGAAGAAUAAAACACUGGAAUAUUAAUUGAGCUGUGAAAUGAGUUAAAAAUAGAACUAAAUUACAGACAGAUAGGAAACUCUAAGUUUCAUUUGUAGAAGAAUAUGGAUUGCGCUUUCAAUAAAAGUUGUGAUGUUGCUUGCUUGAUACAAUCUGCUUCAUCUGGGGCAUAAGAGAAUCCACAGUGAUUCUAAGAGGAGACCUUCAUGGCAUUUCAUUUAGGGCCUGUUCAGGUUUUUCUGGUCUGUUUUUGGUUUGUAUUUGAUUUUUCUGGUUUGUUUGUUUUUUUCACUUGGAUUAUAAUGUAAAAUUUACUUAAUGACUUAGUGAAUUUAGGGAAAAUAUCUCGAAGCUUCUUUAUCUUGUUUAUAAUAUUCUCUUUGCACAAGACUGGAUCUGUUACAGUUCCUUUACGAGGAGGAGGCACUUUCACACACAACCAUUAAACAGUCUAAUUUGCCAUUUGGCCUGUUUCCUGUUAGAUUUCAAGGUGGUUGUAGACAGUCACAUUUCUUAGUGCUCAUCUAAUCUACUCUUUCUUACAAUUUUGAGUUAAUUCCUUUGUCUGCCUGUUAAUCAUUUAUAGGCAUUUCCAUAGGAUAGGUCUUUUCGAAUCUCCCACAGGACUGACUGCAAAGUGCAGUGCUAGAGGACCUUGUGAGUCAAGCCCUGGGACUUCUUCACCUACAGAAAGCAGAACUUGGCUUCAAGCUGACCUCACCCCACCUGCAAGUCUUAAUACACUUGGACGUGCCAUGAUAUGACAAGAAAUAUUAAGAUUUUAGAUAUGUAAAAAUAUUAAAAUUUUGCCUCUUAAAAUCUGUGAAGUAUGGUAUAUGUAAUCCAUUUUUGUGGUAAAUGUUAUAACAUGAGAUUUACUACUAUCUUUUAAAUUAUGAUGGUUAAAGGCUCUACAAUAGCCAAUUUAACUUAUUUAAGCAAUCCUCUAUUAUUGAACAUUUGGAAUCUUUCCCACUUUUUGCUGUUAUAAAUAAAGGUAUGAUAGUCAUCUGCAAGCAUAAACCUUUGGUCACAUCUUUUAUUCUUUCUCUCUUUCUUCCUUCCUUCCUUCCUUCCUUCCUUCCUUCCUUCCUUCCU
rnacentral:lncRNA from 1 species